UACGUAGGGUGCAAGCGUUAAUCGGAAUUACUGGGCGUAAAGCGUGCGCAGGCGGUUGUGUAAGACAGGUGUGAAAUCCCCGGGCUUAACCUGGGAAUUGCAUUUGUGACUGCACGACUAGAGUGUGUCAGAGGGGGGUGGAAUUCCACGUGUAGCAGUGAAAUGCGUAGAUAUGUGGAGGAACACCAAUGGCGAAGGCAGCCCCCUGGGAUAACACUGACGCUCAUGCACGAAAGCGUGGGGAGCAAACAGGAUUAGAUACCCUGGUAGUCCACGCCCUAAACGAUGUCAACUAGUUGUUGGGGAUUUACUUCCUUGGUAACGUAGCUAACGCGUGAAGUUGACCGCCUGGGGAGUACGGCCGCAAGGUUAAA
rnacentral:rRNA from 1 species